rnacentral:misc_RNA from 1 species
UCUCAUGGUGCCACAUGUCACCCUAUGAAAUGACCAAAAUGCCCUUGUGUCUUAAUUUUGAGUUCUCAAUCCAAAAUAAUUAUUUCUCUUCUUCUAAUCAAUUUAUAUCAAAUAUAAAUUAAUUAAUUAAUCUCUAUUAAUUAAUUUCUCAUUAAUUAAAUUCAUAUUUAAACACUUUAAAUAUAAAUUUAACUUAUACUAUACAUCCAAUAACCUAGAUUUGGUUUCAAGUCAUGCUAGGGACUUUGCAAUCUAAUUGCAAACCAAACCUAUUUAAUUAAUCAAUUAAACUCUUUAAUUAAUUAAUUAAAUCAUAUUUAAAUAGGUGAUAACUUGUGUAUGUGUGUGACUUACUAGGCUCAUCACUAAUUGGCAAUGAGACAUGAUAUCAACUCUUAAUAUCAUCAGAACUCUUUCUUACCAUAAAUGAUUUAUCUAAAUCAUUUUAUGCACCUUAUAGACCAUGGUCAACACCUAGCAUAGCAUGCCAUGGCCACCCAAUUAGUAAUAAGGUUUACCUUAAAUGAACCUAUAAUCAUAUGUUACCAUGCACUAGAAUCUCUCUGUUACAAAAUACCAACUCAAGCUGGAGUCAUGGUUUAUGUCAAACUCCAUUUGCUAUGAAUAUUAUGUUCUCUUUUAAUUCCAGUUCUUGAUUAAAAAGAUUUUCUCAUCAGAAACUCUUUUCUGAUUAAAUCUAUCUGUCCUGGCCAGGAACUUGAAACAUCAAGAACAAUUAAAUGAACAUAGGAUUUUAUCUCUAUUUACUUAUAGGAACAGAUUCCAUCUUGACCAAUACCUACCUCUAUAUAUAACUAGUAGAAGCCAACACAUGCCCAUACACCCAUACACAGUACAAGUAUGAAAGCAGUAUCAAACUCAAACCACCUAUAUACAAGAUAACUGUGCUAUCUCAGGUCUAAAGAUUAUAUGCACUGAUAUGAUAUAUGACAAUGCAUUGACAAGAGUAAACUCCAUGUGCUUGUCAUAAGUGUCACUGGUUCGGCCUACUUAUCAUGUAUAAGUGCCUAUCAUGUUUG